GACGAACGCUGGCGGCGUGCCUAAUACAUGCAAGUCGAACGCAAUGGGGACGGUUGAGUAACACGUGGGUAACCUCCCAUCAGAGGGGAUAACACUUGGAAACAGGUGCUAAACCCAUACUGAUGGAUGGACCCGCUGUGCAUUAGCUAGUGGGGGGGGGAACGGCUCACCAAGGCCACGAUGCAUAGCCGGCCUGAGAGGAUGACCAGCCACACUGGGACUGAGACACGGCCCAGACUCCUACGGGAGGCAGCAGUGGGGAAUCUUCGGCAAUGGAGGAAAGUCUGACCGAGCAACGCCGCGUGAAUGAAGAAGGUUUUCGGAUCGUAAAGCACUGUUGUUAGAGAAGCGGUAUCUGACCAAAAAGCCACGGCUAACUACGUGCCAGUAGCCGCGGUAAUUC
rnacentral:rRNA from 1 species